GAAAUAAUGUUUUAGCAGCUGUCAAGACAAAAUUCCACAAAAAUUGGGAUCGAACCCGGGGAAAUCGUGAAUUGUAGUUCGUCCUCUGGAUGUCCGUCUUCUGGGUGAGAACCAGCCGUUGAGUGCAGCCAGCGAAUACGAGGUGGCAUGCCAGUCGUCGGGCUCGCGACCUCCUGCCAACAUAUCCUGGUGGAAGGCAGGGCUGUUGCUCGAACACACCCGAGAAAAGACAAGCCCGGACGGAAAUGUUAGUACCAGCACACUGAGUUUCUCCCCUCAAGUGAAAGAUUCUGGGAAGACCCUGACGUGCCGUGCUGAGAACAGACACAUCAGUGGCAGCGCCCAGUAAGACACGUGGACUUUGAAUGUU